GCUAGCUGAACAAAGACAAGAUGAUGAGAGCUGGAGCAACCAUCUGAUGGAAGGGGCCAUGAAUGGAAGCCAUGUUGAGGAAGCAGAACUGCAAGGUAGAAGGGGCUGGGGGCCCAACACUCUGAAGCCACCAUGUCUGCUUUGGACUGCUUCUAUCUGGGUUAAGCCACUGUGAUGGUGAUGCUGCUGAUGCAGGGACCACACUUUAAGAACCACUACCUCAGACCAUCUGAGAUCAUCCGUGCUUCUUACAGUAUAAACAUCUAUCCACGCUGAAGAAAUUGACAAGCUGAUGCUAAAAUGUGUAUGAAAAUGAAAGGGACCCAGCCAAAACAAUCUUGAAAAAGAACAAAGUUGGAAGACUUAUAUAUCUUGAUUUCAAAAGCUACUAUAAAGCCAUGAUAAUCAAGACAGUGUGGUCCUGACAUGAGGACAGACAUAUAGAUCAAUGGAAUAGAAUUGAGAGUCCACAAAUAAACCCAUGUAUUUAUGGUCAAUUGAUUUUCUGACCAAGGUUCCAAGACAAUUUAAUAGGGAAAGAAUAAGUCUUUUCAACAAAUAGUGCUGGGACAAAUAGAUAGCCAGAUGCAAAAGGAUGAGGUUGGACCUGUAGCUCACACCAAAUACAAAAAUUAACUCAAAAGGGAUCAGAAACCUAAAUGUUAAGAGAUAAAAGUAUAAAACUCCUAAGAAAAAAAA